AACGAACGCUGGCGGCAGGCCUAACACAUGCAAGUCGAGCGAGGACUUCGGUCCUAGCGGCGGACGGGUGAGUAACGCGUGGGAACGUGCCCCUUGGUACGGAAUAGCCCCGGGAAACUGGGAGUAAUACCGUAUGAGCUCUACGGAGGAAAGAUUUAUCGCCAAGGGAUCGGCCCGCGUUGGAUUAGGUAGUUGGUGGGGUAAUGGCCUACCAAGCCGACGAUCCAUAGCUGGUUUGAGAGGAUGAUCAGCCACACUGGGACUGAGACACGGCCCAGACUCCUACGGGAGGCAGCAGUGGGGAAUCUUAGACAAUGGGCGCAAGCCUGAUCUAACCAUGCCGCGUGAGCGAUGAAGGCCUUAGGGUUGUAAAGCUCUUUCAGCUGGGAAGAUAAUGACUGUACCAGCAGAAGAAGCCCCGGCUAACUCCGUGCCAGCCGCCGCGGUAAAAC
rnacentral:rRNA from 1 species